GGCUUCGUGGUGUAAUGGUAGCACACUCGGCGCGUAUUCGAGAGAUCCAGGUUCGAGUCCUGGCGAGGGCA
rnacentral:tRNA from 1 species